rnacentral:ncRNA from 2 species
UGAAUCCGCGCGGGAGAGUCCCCAGUCGUACGUCGCUGGGGCGCCGAAGGAGCAAGUCCCUCCCUUGAAUCUCUCAGGCCCCAGUUACCGCGCGGGCGAG